rnacentral:rRNA from 1 species
AUUGAACGCUGGCGGCAGGCCUAACACAUGCAAGUCGAACGAGUGGCGUACGGGUGAGUAAUGUCUGGGAAACUGCCCGCUGGAGGGGGAUAACUACUGGAAACGGUAGCUAAUACCGCCUACCAUCGGAUGUGCCCAGAUGGGAUUAGCUCGUAGGUGGGGUAACGGCUCACCUAGGCGACGAUCCCGAGCUGGUCUGGGAGGCUGACCGGCAACACGGGAACUGAGGCAGGGUCCAGACUCCUACGGGAGGCAGCAGUGGGGAAUAUUGCACAAUGGGCGCAAGCCUGAUGCAGCCAUGCCGCGUGUAUGAAGAAGGCCUUCGGGUUGUAAAGUACUUUCAGCGAGGAGGCGUUACUCGCAGAAGAAGCACCGGCUAACUCCGUGCCAGCAGCCGCGGUAAUAA